UUUUUUUGGAUAAAGGAACAUGUAUUUACAGUACGUCUACGUUUACAAAGGUAAUCAGUACGAGUUAAUUAUUGUCAGAGUUCUUAUUGAAUUUUUGGUUCAAUGUCUAGCCCAUUUAGCCAGAGUUAGGCUUGCUCUAAAUUGACGUGCAGUAAACUUGACCUAAUGAAAGCCAUUGCCCAGGGCCACCAUGACAUCUGGUUGUCAGCAAAGAUGUAAGGAACCUUUGGUUCAGGGGCUGGCUGAGAACACACUCCCUUCUUAGUGAGUGCGACUUGGCUUUGGGGCCUGAAUGUCCUUCCUUGGAACUGGCCACAGAGCUUUGGAAAGUGAGAGUCCCAUUUGGAAUUGACAACUCAUGCUCUGGGCAAAAGUAGUACUAACAUCAAGUAUUCUGUAGUACAUGAAAGCAAAACUCAUUUUUUCCUCUACGAAUAGGAGAAUUAAAUCCAAAUUAUUAUUGCUUAGUUCCAACAUCCAAUGGAGAGUUGAAAUUUGGCAUCAGCUACUCAUCAGAUAUUUAUGGAGUGCAUUUCCAAGUACAAGAUACCAUUGUAGGUGCUAUGGGGAGCAGAAAAAUUAGAAGACAUGAUUUUAGCCCUCAAAAAUGAUACAUUCUUUUUGGACAGUGAGGUAUAGGUCUAUGCUGGG
rnacentral:lncRNA from 1 species